rnacentral:rRNA from 1 species
GAGGAAUAUUGGUCAAUGGGCGGGAGCCUGAACCAGCCAAGUCGCGUGAAGGAAGAAGGAUCUAUGGUUCGUAAACUUCUUUUGCAGGGGAAUAAAGUGCAGGACGUGUCCUGUUUUGUAUGUACCCUGAGAAUAAGGAUCGGCUAACUCCGUGCCAGCAGCCGCGGUAAUACGGAGGAUCCGAGCGUUAUCCGGAUUUAUUGGGUUUAAAGGGUGCGUAGGUGGUUUGAUAAGUCAGCGGUGAAAGUUUGCAGCUUAACUGUAAAAAUGCCGAUGAAACUGUCGGACUUGAGUGUAAAUGAGGUAGGCGGAAUGCGUGGUGUAGCGGUGAAAUGCAUAGAUAUCACGCAGAACUCCGAUUGCGAAGGCAGCUUACUAAGCUACAACUGACACUGAAGCACGAAAGCGUGGGGAUCAAACA